UCUCCAGACUCCUACGGGAGGCAGCAGUGGGGGAUAUUGCACAAUGGGGGGAACCCUGAUGCAGCGACGCCGCGUGGGUGAAGGAGUAUUUCGGUAUGUAAAGCCCUAUCGGCAGGGAAGAAUUUAGACGGUACCUGACUAAGAAGCCCCGGCUAACUACGUGCCAGCAGCCGCGGUAAUACGUAGGGGGCAAGCGUUAUCCGGAAUUACUGGGUGUAAAGGGAGCGCAGACGGCAGUGCAAGUCUGGAGUGAAAGCCCGUGGCUUAACCACGGGACUGCUCUGGAAACUGUGCAGCUAGAGUGCAGGAGAGGCAGGCGGAAUUCCUAGUGUAGCGGUGAAAUGCGUAGAUAUUAGGAGGAACACCGGUGGCGAAGGCGGCCUGCUGGACUGUAACUGACGUUGAGGCUCGAAAGCGUGGGGAGCAAACAGGAUUAGAUACCCUAGUA
rnacentral:rRNA from 1 species